rnacentral:rRNA from 1 species
UACGUAGGGUGCAAGCGUUAAUCGGAAUUACUGGGCGUAAAGCGUGCGCAGGCGGCUUUGCAAGACAGAUGUGAAAUCCCCGGGCUUAACCUGGGAACUGCAUUUGUGACUGCACGGCUAGAGUGUGUCAGAGGGGGGUAGAGUUCCACGUGUAGCAGUGAAAUGCGUAGAUAUGUGGAGGAAUACCGAUGGCGAAGGCAGCCCCCUGGGAUAACACUGACGCUCAUGCACGAAGGCCAGGGGAGCAAACGGG